UAGACUACUGUACUGGUCUGCAAUAAUU
rnacentral:piRNA from 1 species